rnacentral:rRNA from 1 species
GGUUCGAUUCUGGCUCAGAUGAACGCUGGCGGGAUGCUUUACAUGCAAGUCGAACGGCGGCACGGACUUCAGUCUGGUGGCGAGUGGCGAACGGGUGAGUAAUGUAUCGGAACGUCACUUACAGUAGCGGGGGAUAACUACGCGAAAGCGUAGCUAAUACCACAUACGCCCUUCGGGGAAAGCGGGGACCUUCGGGCCUCGCACUAUUAGAGCGGCCGAUAUAUCGGAUUGAUAAGUUGGUGGGGUAACGGCUCACCAAGGCGACGAUCCGUAGCUGGUUUGAAGGUUGACCACAGCCACACUGGACUGAGACACGGCCCAGACUCCUACGGGAGGCAGCAGUGGGGAAUUUUGGACAAUGGGGAAACCUGAUCAGCCAUCCGCGUGUGCGAUGAAGGACUUCGGGUUGUAAAGCACUUUUGGCAGGAAAGAAACGGCACGGGGAUAAUACCCCGAUGCAACUGACAACCUGCAGAAUAAGCACCGGCUAACUACGUUGCCAGCAGCCGCGGUAAUACGUAGGGUGCAGCGUUAAUCAAGGUACUGGGCGUAAAGCGUGCGCAGGCGGUUCGGAAAGAAAGAUGUGAAAUCCCAGGAAACACUUUGGAACUGCAUUUUAACUACCGAGCUAGAGUGUGUCAGAGGAGGUGGAAUUCCGCGAUGUAGCAUUGUCAUGAAUAUGCGGAGGAACACCGAUGGCGAAGGCAGCCUCCUGGGAUGCUGCACUGACGCUCAUGCGAAGGCAUUGGAGCAAACAGGAUUAGAUACCUGGUAGUCCACGCCCUAAACGAUGUCAACUGGCUGUUGCCAGGGCCUUCGGGCCUUGGUAGCGCAGCUAACGCGUGAAGUUGACCGCCUGGGGAGUACGGUCGCAAGAUUAAAACUCAAAGGAAUUGACGGGGACCCGCACAAGCGGUGGAUGAUGUGGAUUAAUUCGAUGCAACGCGAAAAACCUUACCUACCCUUGACAUGUCUGGAAUCCCGAAGAGAUUUGAGUGCUCGCAAGAGAACCGGAACUGGAGUGCCGUGGCUGUCGUCAGCUCGUGUCGUGAGAUGUUGGGUUAAGUCCCGCAACGAGCGCAACCCUUGUCAUUAGUUGCUACGAAAGGGCACUCCUAAUGAGACUGCCGGUGACAAACCGGAGGAAGGUGGGGAUGACGUCAAGUCCUCAUGGCCCUUAUGGGUAGGGCUUCACACGUCAUACAAUGGUCGGGACAGAGGGUCGCCAACCCGCGAGGAGCCAAUCCCGAAACCCGAUCGUAGUCCGGAUCGCAGUCUGCAGCUCGACUGCGUGAAGUCGGAAUCGCUAGUAAUCGCGGAUCAGCAUGUCGCGGUGAAUACGUUCCCGGGUCUUGUACACACUGCCCGUCACACCAUGGGAGUGGGUUUUACCAGAAGUAGUUAGCCUAACCGUAAGGAGAGCGAUUACCACGGUAGGAUUCAUGACUGGGGUGAAGUCGUAACAAGGUAG